rnacentral:sRNA from 1 species
CCCUAGCCCAGAUAGGAGCGACAUCCUUUUGCCCCGGGGUUCGGGGUAAAAGAUAUAGCGGAUAGCUGGAAUUGCU